rnacentral:misc_RNA from 1 species
AACGCACCUUGCGCUCCUUGGUAUUCCGAGGAGCAUGCCUGUUUGAGUGUCAUUAAAUUCUCAACUUCAUCAGUUUUGUUAUGAAACUAUGUGAAGCUUGGAUGUGGGGGUUUGUGCAGAAUGCUUCAUUGUAGACUGCUCCCCUUAAAUGAAUUAGCGAGUUCAAACUGAGUUCCAUCUAUUGGUGUGAUAACUAUCUACGCCAUGGAUUGAGCUUAGACUUGCUUCUAACCGUCUGCAAAGACAAUCUUUUGAAAAUUUGACCUCAAAUCAGGUAGGACUACCCGCUGAACUUAA